GCGGUGACCGGUCGGUCCUCGCGCGCCUCCCCGGGUCCCUGCAUCGAGUUGUGAAGGCACUGGCUGGGCGCGACUCAGGCACCCUGGAGGGACUCUCCGAGGGGUGCCGGGCUGCAGAGCGGAGCCCGAGAAAUCCCCUCUGGGGAAGGAGAGGUGGGCCGGUUCCGAUCCCGACGUUCCCUUCGUCCCGGGCGUGCGGAGAAGCCUCUAAGAGGGCUGACUCCGACCUUCACGCACGUUAACCCUCAAACCGGUUUAGCCUCGGCGUUUUGGAACCCAGCCCACCGAGCCGCGGAGAUCGCCUUGGCGUGCAACUCAGGAAAGUUUGAAGGGUCCUGCCCCCAACCCCCCGUCUGCACGUGCACCCUCACCUUUCCUGCCUGUGAAAGCUGGUGACCACCCUGCUCUCCUUUCUCUUUCUGCAGGUCCGGAAAUCUGCUUGGAGCACGGAACUACCCAACUCGAGCCUGGGUAGACGACCCGCGCGCUCCUCUCGCAGCUAAUUCGGGAUCAUUAAUUUCAUCGGAAAUGAGGUAACCAGUGUAGGAGAUAGAGAAAGCAAACCGAGCAUCAGAUGGCAGUUCUCGUGAAUCCGCGCGGUAAGAACUUCCUCUGGACUCAAUUUUUUUAAGUGCGGUUCUCAGCUCCUCGCCACCCGUCCCUCCGUGGGUACCACCGCCAGGCAUUAGCUGGAAGGGAAGGACUCUUAUUUGGACCGGUGGUACCUGACCAACAGGUGUGCCACCUGGAGGAGGAGAAGGCACGGCCAUGCUACAGGGAGUUCAGUGCGGCGGCGUUCUCCUGGCUGCAGAUAAUUCUGGAAGGCCGGCCUGACUCGGGCGUCUGCGUGAGGCGAUGCCACAGCUCUGCUCGGAAGCGUGUGAAAUGUCACUCUUCCACCUGGAGUCAAGGCCACUGUCACCAGAACUCAAGACCAGGAUCUGAAAGUAACCUGGCCACACAAAGGCAUAUAAAACACUACCACCCGUUCACAGACUCACUCCACUUUAUAUUUGUGGGAAACGAUCCUAGAAGCUGAAAUACGUUCAGAGUUCAACAGUCUGGGAAAUUUAAAAGAGGGAGGAAAAAAGCCCUUCAUCCAAGGAUCUGAGGACAGAACUCUGCUCUUUGAGGAUGGGAGGAGGCAAGAAGACCCUAUUCAUGGCUGCAAGAGAGGAAAAGAGCCCCAGAAGGAAACUACCAGCAGAUGGGAAAUCUUGGUAAGAGAAUCCUACCCUGGAGCAUCUCCAAAAAAUUCAUACAAACCAACAGGAGAGGCAACUUUAUAUACCUGUGAAGAUCAAAGAACUAUAACACCAGAUCUUCACGAGAGGACCAGACAAUUAUCAUCAGAGGAAGCUCAAAAAGUAUAAGUGAAGUGCCCCCUGAACUUGAAAACACAAGCUUGACAGCACUAAGAGUUCAUAUACAACUGGUGAGACCAAUGGAAUUAUUUCCUCUGCCUGAACCUCAAGCUGAAAUUAGGGGCCUUUGGAGAAUGAUGGUGUUACUGAUAGCCAAAUACUGACCAUCUGCAACCACAGUUAUGGAUUGUGGCUUGAUUCUUCUUAUUUUAAAAGUUGAGAUGAAUUUAAAAAGCUGUUGUCAAAUUUCUCAAGGAGUUCAGGGACCUUCGUUGUCAAAGUGCCACCUACUGGAUGCAAGCUCCUAUUUGGUUAAUCCUGAAAAGCAGAAGACUGACAGCAAACCUGAACUGCCCCCGGUGCAUUGUCAUCUUAAAAAAUGAUAACUUCCACUCGCAAGAUGAGUGACCCUAAUAAAGAUCGUAGGGUUGUGUCUCAGAAGAGGCAAAGUGGUGAGCGUUCCUAUGAACAACGAGUGAACCCUGGGUCUGAGGAACCUGGGCUCCUAAGCAAGCAAUUGUAUUUAUUUAUUUGCAUUUUCCUCAUUAAAAUAUUUUUAAAAUUUA